UCUGAGGCAGAGGAGAUAAGACAGGGCUGGGGGCAGGCCCAGUGCUGUGGUCUCAGGAGGCAGCGCUCUCGGGACUUCUCCACUAUGGCCUGGAAUCUGCUCCUCCUCAUUCUCCUCACUCAGGGCACAGGGUCCUGGGCUCAGUCUGUCCUGACUCAGCCUCGCUCAGUGUCCGGGUCUCCUGGACAGUCGGUCACCAUCUCCUGCACUGGAACCAGCAGUGAUGUUGGGGGUUAUAACUAUGUCUCCUGGUACCAGCAGCACCCAGGCACAGCCCCCAGACUCAUGAUUUAUGAUGUCAGCAGUCGGCCCUCAGGAGUCCCUAAUCGCUUCUCUGGCUCCAAGUCUGGCAACACGGCCUCCCUGACCAUCUCUGGGCUCCAGGCUGAGGACGAGGCUGAUUAUUACUAUGGAGGGAAAGCAGUGCAGAGGGUUCCAGUGGGUUAG